rnacentral:rRNA from 1 species
CACUCCUGCGGGAGGCAGCAGUGAGGAAUAUUGGACAAUGGGUGGAAGCCUGAUCCAGCCAUCCCGCGUGCAGGAAGACGGCCCUAUGGGUUGUAAACUGCUUUUAUCUGGGGAUAAACCUACUUACGUGUAAGUAGCUGAAGGUACCAGAAGAAUAAGCACCGGCUAACUCCGUGCCAGCAGCCGCGGUAAUACGGAGGGUGCAAGCGUUAUCCGGAUUUAUUGGGUUUAAAGGGUCCGUAGGCGGACUGAUAAGUCAGUGGUGAAAUCCGACAGCUUAACUGUCGAACUGCCAUUGAUACUGUUAGUCUUGAGUAAGGUUGAAGUGGCUGGAAUAAGUAGUGUAGCGGUGAAAUGCAUAGAUAUUACUUAGAACACCAAUUGCGAAGGCAGGUCACUAAGUCUUAACUGACGCUGAUGGACGAAAGCGUGGGGAGCGAACAGGAUUAGAAACCCGAGUAGUCCC